rfam:Aedes albopictus isolate Foshan contig94734, whole genome shotgun sequence.
UAGCUUAGUGGUGAAGGCUAUGGAUCGCCAAUCCAGAGACGGCGGGUUCGAUUCCCGU